rnacentral:rRNA from 1 species
CCCGCUGAACUUAAGCAUAUCAGUAAGCGGAGGAAAAGAAACCAACAGGGAUUCCCAUAGUAACUGCGAGUGAAGUGGGAUCAGCCCAGCACCAAGGUUCUCGGCCGCGUGGUCGACGAACGAUGCGGUGUUUGGCACGUUCAUUGUGCGCUAGACGGAGUGACAAAGUUCCCUUGACUGGGCUCGUGCCCCGAAGCGGGUGUGAGGCCUUUAGUCGCUCGUGAGCUGGCGUACCUCGGGCGUGUCUCGAGCCGGGUUGUUUGGGAGUACAGCCCAAAGUAGGUGGUAAACUCCAUCUAAGGCUAAAUACGUGCACGAGUCCGAUAGCGAACAAGUACCGUGAGGGAAAGUUGAAAAGUACUUUGAAGAGAGAGUUCAAGAGCACGUGAAACUGCCUAGAGGCAAGCGGAUAGGGCCACAUGAGCCAGCUGGUCGGAUUCAGUUACGCCUGCUCGUGACGAGUCGGUACGCGGAUAUUGCCGGGUUUACCCUCGGUGUGCCGCGGUGCUGGCCAUUGCGGGUCGUUGUAGCGUACUUUCGGCUAGCGUAUGGUGGCCGCGAUCAAUUGGCUGAGGUGCCAAGUGCGUGAGGAGGUAGCCACGGGUGCUCCUUGUGGGCGCUGCUAACGUUGGUGAUACUUGCGCAUUGGACCAACCUCGGUCGAUUGUGGAGCGACUGCGGUGCACGCAUCACUCGAAGGUGCUUGCUGCUCUGUCGGGCUUGGCUUCGCGGCGCCGAACUGCAAUGCAGUGCGGUACUGCGCGGCUGGGCUGCAGGCGGGGUGUGUUAGCGAAAGCGAGGUGCGCCGCUGGUCAGCGGCUUGCUGGUCGCCUAUCCGUCCCGUCUUGAAACACGG